GAUGAACGCUGGCGGCGUGCCUAAUACAUGCAAGUCGAGCGAACGGACGAGAAGCUUGCUUCUCUGAUGUUAGCGGCGGACGGGUGAGUAACACGUGGAUAACCUACCUAUAAGACUGGGAUAACUUCGGGAAACCGGAGCUAAUACCGGAUAAUAUUUUGAACCGCAUGGUUCAAAAGUGAAAGACGGUCUUGCUGUCACUUAUAGAUGGAUCCGCGCUGCAUUAGCUAGUUGGUAAGGUAACGGCUUACCAAGGCAACGAUGCAUAGCCGACCUGAGAGAGUGACCGGACACAUUGGGACUGCGGCACGGGCCAGACGCAUACGGGAGGCAGCAGUGGGGAACAUUGCACAAUGGGCGGAAGCCUGAUGCAGCAACGCCGCGUGCGGGAUAACGGCCUUAUGGUUGUAAACCGAUUUCGCAUGUGACGAAGCGGGAGUGACGGUAAUGGGUAAAGAAGCAACGGCUAACUACGUG
rnacentral:rRNA from 1 species